rnacentral:rRNA from 1 species
GAUGAACGCUGGCGGUAUGCUUAACACAUGCAAGUCGAACGGACUCUUCGGAGUUAGUGGCGGACGGGUGAGUAACGCGUGAGAAUCUGGCUUUGGGUUCGGGACAACCACUGGAAACGGUGGCUAAUACCGGAUGUGCCGAGAGGUAAAAGAGAAAUUGCCUGAAGAUGAGCUCGCGUCUGAUUAGCUAGUUGGUGAGGUAAAGGCUCACCAAGGCAGCGAUCAGUAGCUGGUCUGAGAGGAUGACCAGCCACACUGGGACUGAGACACGGCCCAGACUCCUACGGGAGGCAGCAGUGGGGAAUUGUCCGAAAUGGGCGAAAGCCUGACGGAGCAAUACCGCGUGAGGGAAGAAGGCUCUUGGGUUGUAAACCUCUUUUCUUAGGGAAGAACAAAAUGACGGUACCUAAGGAAUCAGCAUCGGCUAACUCCGUG